AUGGGGUUGAUGGAAGGGUGGUGGUUGUUUCCUCCACUCUCAAUCGAGCCCCUAAAGCGGCAACUUGAUGGUGGUGGGGGGUUUGUCUGCGGCAGGGAGCAGGGAGUGGGAGAGGUCAGCGCCGGCGCAGUGCCCCGACCUAGACAACCAGCACCUGCUGCUGCGUGGCAUGGAGAAGAGCAAAGAGGGGAAGCUGAGCGAAGGCGCAGGCGCGUGAAGGACCGGCUCAACAUGGACGGUGACGGAGCCAAAGUAGGCGACGAUAGCCGAGGAGACUGAUAGGGACUAG
rnacentral:lncRNA from 1 species